UGCUGGUCUCCGACGGGGAAGGUACCGAGGGAAUCUAUCCGGGGACAGACUUCGUAAAAAAUGAUGAGAAGUCGGGAAAAGAGGAAAAAUCAAGAAAUGAUGCGAUUAAGAAAAAAUACAGAUUCGAUGCAAGCGAUAACUUGAACCUUCAAUUAUUGUCUGCGAUAAACUGCAACUAUAUAAGGAUCCAGCGCUUGUUUUCAAAAUGAGAUUAAGUAGAAAUGGGAAUUAAAUGAACGAGAUACUAUUUUCUCAAGAUAUAAGAUUUAAAAUGGUGACUAGAGGAGAAGAAAACACUGGAGUGUAACAAAUCAAUGGCUGCUUUCCAACAAUGUACACUAAUGAUGUAAUCAUAUUGGAUCAACAUCGACAAAGUUGCUGAAUGGGUUUUUUUUUGCUUCGUACACGUCGUAGCAAAAUUUUUCAAUAAACGGAUACACAUCCCACACAAAACAAAAACUCCAUUAGACAUCCACAGCUCCAUGCGACAUCUAAUGGAUGUCUAGAUGGAUAGAUGUCUGUGUGGGAUGUUUAUUACAUCUAGCUCAGUAUCUACUGGAUAAGAAAAUUAUAAAGUAUAAUCUGUAUUUGAUUUGUUCCUUUUCAAUUCAAUGAAAAUCUCGUUUUGUAAUGAGAAUGUGACGGCAAAUGUGUCUGAUAUAUGUCUGUAAAAUAUUUUUGUCUGUUUUGUAAAUAUGAACAUACAUGUAUUGAUCUAGCAAAAUGAUGUAUUGUUUCACCUCUUUCCGUCUUGU